AAUAGAUACCCAGGUAGUCCAUGCCGUAAACGUUGGGCACUAGGUGUGGGGCUCAUUCCACGAGUUCCGUGCCGCAGCAAACGCAUUAAGUGCCCCGCCUGGGGAGUACGGCCGCAAGGCUAAAACUCAAAGGAAUUGACGGGGGCCCGCACAAGCGGCGGAGCAUGCGGAUUAAUUCGAUGCAACGCGAAGAACCUUACCAAGGCUUGACAUGCACGGGAAGCCACCAGGGAUGGUGGUCUCUUUGGACACUCGUGCACAGGUGGUGCAUGGUUGUCGUCAGCUCGUGUCGUGAGAUGUUGGGUUAAGUCCCGCAACGAGCGCAACCCUCGUCCCAUGUUGCCAGCGGGUUAUGCCGGGGACUCAUGGGAGACUGCCGGGGUCAACUCGGAGGAAGGUGGGGAGUGACGUCAAAUCAUCAUGCCCCUUAUGUCUUGGGCUUCACGCAUGCUACAAUGGCCGGUACAAAGGGCUGCGAUACCGUAAGGUGGAGCGAAUCCCGAAAAAGCCGGUCUCAGUUCGGAUUGGGGU
rnacentral:rRNA from 1 species